rnacentral:lncRNA from 1 species
CGUGUAUUUCCUACAUCCAACUGGAAACUGAAGCAAAGCGAACGUGUCCUGGUUAGGCAGGAUUGCUGGAUUCUGUACCAAAAAACAGUCAAAUUACACUCUUCUGAGAAGCUCUCCCACGCAGACCCAGCCAGGACAUUGUGUGAGCUUCUCUGGCAAAACCCCCCAUCGGCUGGGCAUCCGCCCACAGGACUGGGCGGCACAGCAGCACCCCAAGGGCACGCAGGUCGGGGCACAGGCUCGGCCUGCAGCGGACAGGCGAGAGAACCGCUCGCGGGUGUCACCCAGCGCCGCGGGGACACCGAGGCAGGCCGCUGCUCAUCCUCACUUCGGUUCCCAGACCCAGCAGCGAGCUGCGUGCCAAACAGCACGGCCACGAGCCCGGCCGGCCUCCCGCAGCCUCACCUGGGGCCGGGAGGGGACGACAAGAGGGGACAACAAGAGGGGACGACAAGCCGCGUUCCCCCCCACCCCCGAGCUGCUCCUGCUCACAGCGCUGCGACACGGGGACCGGCCGCGGGGCUGCCAGCCUCCAGCCUCCCCGGGGAGGACCUGGCCUCCGCUGCCCGUGCUCCUGCGGCCCCUCCAUCCCUCCCUCCAUGCCUCCAUCCCUCUCGGCCCCAAACCCACCGGCCCGGCCGUACCGGAGCGGCCCCGCUCGGCAGCGCCGUCUCCAGGCAGCGGCGCCCCGGAACCAAAGCGGCCGCCAGGAAGCGCCGUGCCCGGCCCGGCCCCGCUCGGAGCCCGGAGAGCCGGGAGCGGGCCCCCCCGUGUGGCCGCGGGGAUGGGAGCGGGGCCGGGCCGGCUCCUGUGUGGGGUCAGGGAGCCGCAGGAGGGCUGAGGUGGGAAGGGGCCUCCAGGGAUCUUCUGGUCCGGCCCCUGCCGCAGCAGGGUCACCCAGAGCGUGUCACACAGGAGCAGGGUCGCAUCCUGUCAGGUUUUGAGCGCCUCCAGAGGAGGAGGCUCCACAACCCCUCUGGGCAGACCUGUUCCAGUGCUCUGUCACCCAAACUGUAA